rnacentral:tRNA from 1 species
GGCAAGAUGGCCGAGUGGUCUAAGGCGUAGCAUUAAGGAAGAUAUUCUGAGAAUUCAGAGAAAUCUGCUAUCUUCGGGCGUGGGUUCGAAUCCCACUCUUGUCA